UAAUUGAAACCAAAUUAAGAGGUAUGUCACUGUUAAUGAUAUAAUUGAGAUAUUCUCCAAUUAAGG
rnacentral:tRNA from 1 species